UGGGGAAUAUUGCACAAUGGGCGCAAGCCUGAUGCAGCCAUGCCGCGUGUAUGAAGAAGGCCUUCGGGUUGUAAAGUACUUUCAGCGGGGAGGAAGGGAGUAAAGUUAAUACCUUUGCUCAUUGACGUUACCCGCAGAAGAAGCACCGGCUAACUCCGUGCCAGCAGCCGCGGUAAUACGGAGGGUGCAAGCGUUAAUCGGAAUUACUGGGCGUAAAGCGCACGCAGGCGGUUUGUUAAGUCAGAUGUGAAAUCCUCGGGCUCAACCUGGGAACUGCAUCUGAUACUGGCAAGCUUGAGUCUCAUAGAGGGGGGUAGAAUUCCAGGUGUAGCGGUGAAAUGCGUAGAGAUCUGGAGGAAUACCGGUGGCGAAGGCGGCCCCCUGGACGAAGACUGACGCUCAGGUGCGAAAGCGUGGGGAGCAAACAGG
rnacentral:rRNA from 1 species